GCCGAAGUGGCGGAACAGGCAGACGCGACGGUCUCAAACACCGUUGAGCAUAGCGCUCAUGUGGGUUCGAUUCCCACCUUCGGCA
rnacentral:tRNA from 1 species